CGGGGUAGGGGUAGACCGAAGAAGUACUGGGGUGAGGUGAUUAGGCGGGACAUGGAACAGUUACAGCUUACCGAGGACAUGACCCUAGAUAGGAAGGUCUGGAAGACGCGAAUUACGGCAGAGGAUUAGGGCCUGUUCGGGUCGCUAAUGUAGGGAGGUAAUUGGUGGGGGUGUAUUCCUGGUAUGAUUCCGUAUUCAAUGUUCUGUUCCGUGUUCCGUGUUCUAUGUUUGUUACGAAUCUGUGUGCUUUCCUCUGCUUUAUAUUCCUGCAUCCCUGCUUUACUCUGUUUUAUAUUCCUUAUGGCUGCAGGAAUAUGUGUGCUUUCCUCUGCUUUAUAUUCCUGCAUUCCUGCUUUACUCUGUUUUAUAUUCCUUAUGGGUGCCGUAUCUAUGUUAUGUCAUCUGCUUCUGUGCGGUACUAUGUGUUUGUGUGAUAUCUCGUGACUUGAGCCGGGGG
rnacentral:lncRNA from 1 species